rnacentral:rRNA from 1 species
UCCUAUGGCCAUGGCACCCUGAACAAGAAGCCCGAUCCCAUCUGAUCUCGGAAGCUAAGCAGGGUCGGGCCUGGUUAGUACUUGGAUGGGAGACCACCUAGGAAGACUAGGUGCUAUAGGCG